rnacentral:rRNA from 1 species
AAAGAUUAAGCCAUGCAUGUCUAAGUAUAAGCAAUUAUACAGCGAAACUGCGAAUGGCUCAUUAUAUAAGUUAUCGUUUAUUUGAUAGUACCUUACUACUUGGAUAACCGUGGUAAUUCUAGAGCUAAUACAUGCUAAAAAUCCCGACUUACGAAGGGAUGUAUUUAUUAGAUUAAAAACCAAUGCCCUUCGGGGCUCCUUGGUGAUUCAUGAUAACUCCUCGAAUCGCAUGGCCUUGUGCCGGCGAUGGUUCAUUCAAAUUUCUUCCCUAUCAACUUUCGAUGUUUGGGUAUUGGCCAAACAUGGUUGCAACGGGUAACGGAGGGUUAGGGCUCGACCCCGGAGAAGGAGCCUGAGAAACGGCUACUACAUCCAAGGAAGGCAGCAGGCGCGCAAAUUACCCAAUCCCGACACGGGGAGGUAGUGACAAUAAAUACUGAUACAGGGCUCUUUUGGGUCUUGUAAUUGGAAUGAGUACAAUUUAAAUCCCUUAACGAGGAACAAUUGGAGGGCAAGUCUGGUGCCAGCAGCCGCGGUAAUUCCAGCUCCAAUAGCGUAUAUUAAAGUUGUUGUGGUUAAAAAGCUCGUAGUUGAACCUUGGGCCUGGCUGGCCGGUCCGCCUCACCGCGUGUACUGGUCCGGCCGGGCCUUUCCCUCUGUGGAACCCCAUGCCCUUCACUGGGUGUGGCGGGGAAACAGGACUUUUACUUUGAAAAAAUUAGAGUGCUCCAGGCAGGCCUAUGCUCGAAUACAUUAGCAUGGAAUAAUAGAAUAGGACGUGUGGUUCUAUUUUGUUGGUUUCUAGGACCGCCGUAAUGAUUAAUAGGGACAGUCGGGGGCAUCAGUAUUCAAUUGUCAGAGGUGAAAUUCUUGGAUUUAUUGAAGACUAACUACUGCGAAAGCAUUUGCCAAGGAUGUUUUCAUUAAUCAGGAACGAAAGUUAGGGGAUCGAAGACGAUCAGAUACCGUCGUAGUCUUAACCAUAAACUAUGCCGACUAGGGAUCGGACGAUGUUAUUUUUUGACUCGUUCGGCACCUUACGAGAAAUCAAAGUGCUUGGGCUCCAGGGGGAGUAUGGUCGCAAGGCUGAAA